UGCAACGCUGAGCGGGAGCGCGAGGAGGGAAGGGGUUUGGCAAGGGGCCCCAAAGAGGCCGAGACCCCGAGAGUGCCGGCAGCGCUCUUUAUCACGCCUGGAGGCUCCUGCAGAGUCCCGGAACCGCCCGAACCUCCAGAAAUGCAGGCAGGGUGCACUCCCCAGGGGGUACAACUUUGGCAGUGAGGACCACAGAGGUCCAGGGAGAACCGGAGACCCGAGGAGCAUGAAGGCACUCUAUGACACCACUGCCUACAAACGCAGGGGCCGGAAUGCAGUGACAGGACACUGCUGGGAGUAAAGGCUCUCAGCGCCUCCGUGGAGGGCUGCCUCCACUCCCAAUAUUGUGCGGGGGGACUAGGACGAGCCUGGUAAGUCAGUCACAGGAUAUCAGUUCUCAGAAUAGAAGAGAAGCCAGGUCUGGACAGCACCUGAUGAUGCAUUUCCAAUUAAUCUUGGAAUGAGAGCCGAGGGCAAGAAGCCAGCAGUGCCUGAGGGAGGCUAAAGAGCCAACCGAUCCAGGGAAACAAAUGCCAGCGAGGGACCCCACAGCAAAGAGACAGACACUGUGAGCAACUCUCCUGUUACCAUGAGGCUUGCGAGGCGUGUGCGCGGGUCUCCGCAUUGGCACCAUCUGCCAAUUCCUCAGGAGGACAGAACAAACCAGUGAGGCAUGAAGAUUAGAUUAUGUAACGCUCGAGGAUUGCUGUUUUCAAAGAGGAAACAAAUGGAACGAAUUGAUUUGCUUGUCAAAGUCAUGUCACUAAAGGAGAUCUAUUCCCUCCUCUUCUAAAAGGACCUCAUUAACGAGUGGAAUGAUUUCACAGAUUCAGAAAAUGUGAGACCACAAUCCACUCCAUUCAUAAGAGCAAGUCCACUUUCCAGAGUCGCCCUCACACAUUCUAUUCUGGUCCCCCGGCCUGAAAAAAUGUCUAUCCAGCGACUACCUAAAGGGUACCGACCUGGUGAGGGACAUAAUUGUCAGUUGCUAGCCAUAAGAUUUAGAGCCGGAGGCCAGGCGUCAUGGCUUACACCCAUAAUCCUAGCACUUUGGGAGGCCGAGGUGGGUGGAUCAUGUGAGGUCAGAAGUUCAAGAUCAGCCUGGCCAACAUGGUGAAACCCCAUCUCUACUAAAAAUACAAAAAUUACCUGGGCGUGGUGGCACACACCUGUAACCCCAGCUACUCAGGAGGCUGAGGAAUGAGAAUCACUUGAGCUCAAGAGGCAGAGGUUGCAGUGAGCCAAGAUCACGCCAUUGCACUCCAGCCUGGGCAACAGAGUGAGACUCCGUCUCAAAAUAAAUAAAAAUAAAAAAACAGAACCUGU